UGGGGAAUAUUGGACAAUGGGCGCAAGCCUGAUCCAGCCAUGCCGCGUGAGUGAUGAAGGCCCUAGGGUUGUAAAGCUCUUUCACCGGUGAAGAUAAUGACGGUAACCGGAGAAGAAGCCCCGGCUAACUUCGUGCCAGCAGCCGCGGUAAUACGAAGGGGGCUAGCGUUGUUCGGAUUUACUGGGCGUAAAGCGCACGUAGGCGGACUUUUAAGUCAGGGGUGAAAAUCCCGGGGCUCAACCCCGGAACUGCCUUUGAUACUGGAAGUCUUGAGUAUGGUAGAGGUGAGUGGAAUUCCGAGUGUAGAGGUGAAAUUCGUAGAUAUUCGGAGGAACACCAGUGGCGAAGGCGGCUCACUGGACCAUUACUGACGCUGAGGUGCGAAAAGCGUGGGGAGCAAAACAGGAUUAGAUACCCUGGUAGUCCACGCCGUAAAACGAUGAAUGUUAGCCGUUGGGGAGUUUAACUCUUCGGUGGCGCAGCUAACGCAUUAAACAUUCCGCCUGGGGAGUACGGUCGCAAGAUUAAAACUCAAAUGAAUUGAACGGGGUCAUAGCUG
rnacentral:rRNA from 1 species